rnacentral:piRNA from 1 species
CGCAGGCAUUUGCUUAACUAUUGG